UUUUCCUUCCUCUGCUGUGAACAUUCUACAUGAGACUGGCAACACAGUAGUCAGUGCGAGCUAUUAACGUGGUUUUGGAUGAGCGCCGAAACCGUUCACACAUGUAUGACAGGAUGUAGCAUGAGAAAAGCGAAGAAAAGCGGUUGAUAGUUUGCGAUGUGACAGAAAGCCUGAGGUGUAGCCUAGAUAUGACUGUGACCAGAGCAAGGACAGAAACAGAAGCCGACAGUAGCUGCAUUAUCCACUGCAGGUUAUGAUGACAGCACCGCGGCCGGCGCUUCAAACCUGAAGUACCGCUCUAAUCAAGGUUGCAUGCGCUUUUUUUUAAUGCAACACUGGAUUUUUACACACUAACUCAACUCAGUUUAACAGAAGCUACAUUUGAACAUCACAAAGAAGCACUGAAAGAAAGAGGACAGAAUGGCGAGCCAAAACGACUGCUGUGUGAAGGUCUCUUUAAGGAUCCGUCCCCAGAUGGCGAAGGAGAAGAUCGAGGGCUGCCACGUGUGCACGCUGGUGACACCCGGGGAGCCCCAAGUGUUGCUGGGAAAAGACAAGGCCUUCACGUACGACUUUGUGUUCGACAUCGACUCGGCACAGGAGCAGAUCUACGUGGCCUGCGUUCACAAACUCAUCGAGGGCUGCUUUGACGGUUACAACGCCACAGUGUUUGCGUACGGUCAGACGGGCUCAGGGAAGACUUACACCAUGGGUACGGGCUUUGACAUGAACGUCCCAGAUGAGGAGAAGGGUAUCAUCCCGCGGGCUGUUCGACAGCUGUUUCUGGGAAUCCAGGAGAGGAAGAGCCAGGCCCAGAGAGAAGGGACACACCCUCCGGAGUUUAAAGUCAGCGCACAGUUCCUAGAGCUGUACAACGAGGAGAUUCUAGACCUGUUCGAUGGAGCCCGAGAUCCAGACUGUAAAAGCAGGAAGUCUAACAUUAAGAUCCACGAGGACAGCAACGGGUCCAUCUACACCACCGGAGUCACCUCACGAUUAGUCAACUCCGAGGAAGAGCUGUUACAGUGUUUGAAGCUGGGAGCUCUGUCUCGCACUACGGCCAGUACCCAGAUGAAUGCGUCCAGUUCCAGAUCUCAUGCCAUCUUCACCAUCAACCUCUGUCAGAUGAGAGUCUGUCCACUAACUGAGGAGAAUGGUGGGGAGAACAGAGGCGUGGUCGGAGGGUUGAUCGCGGAAGAGAACGGGGAGAUGAAUGGUGUCGGCGGAGGUCCUAUAGCCAAGCCUGAAUAUGAGACUUUGAUGGCCAAGUUUCAUUUUGUGGACCUGGCUGGAUCAGAGAGACUCAAACGGACCGGCGCCACGGGGGAGAGGGCACGGGAAGGCAUAUCCAUCAACUGUGGACUGCUGGCACUGGGGAAUGUGAUCAGUGCCUUAGGAGACCAGACUAAGAAAGGAGGACAUGUUCCCUACAGAGACUCUAAACUCACACGCCUACUACAGGAUUCCCUGGGGGGAAACAGUCGAACUGUGAUGAUAGCGUGCGUGAGUCCAUCAGACCGGGACUUCAUGGAAACACUGAACACCCUGAAGUACGCCAACAGAGCCAGGAACAUCCGGAACAAGGUAGUGGUGAACCAGGACAAGACCAGCCAGCAGAUAUCUGCCCUGAGGGCCGAGAUCGCCAGGCUACAAACGGAGCUGAUGGAGUACAAAGCGGGUAAGCGCGUGGCAGGCGAGGAUGGCUCUGAGGGCUUUAGCGAUCUGUUCCAGGAGAACUCCAUGCUCCAGAAAGACAAUGACACACUACGCAUGAGAGUCAAAGCGAUGCAGGAGACCAUCGACCACCUCAACACACGAGUCACCACUCUGCUCGCCAACGAGGUUGGCACACUGCUUGCCAAUUCAGGUGAGGGCAACGAGGAAAUUGGGACUCUGAUCCAAAACUACAUCAGAGAGAUCGAGGAGCUCAGAUCAAAGCUGUUGGAGAGCGAGGCCAUGAACGAGUGUCUUCGCCGCAGUGUGACCCGUCUCUCCUCCCGCUCCCAGUUCCCAGCCUCCGCCUCCCAUAGCGCCUCCCCCGGGAAUCACCAGUUAGGCUCCUCGCCAUCCUUGUCCAUGGAAGCGGAGAUGACGGACGUGAUCCGCAGAGCAAAGAUGGACAUUGAGAGGCUGAAAAAGAAGGAGAGGAGCCAGAGAAGGAUGAGCCCUGAAAAAGAUAAAGGCUUGAAGAAAAGGGUGAAGCUUCACUCUCAUGAGAAUGGAACCAACACAGAAAACGGGCAGAACGGAGAAAACAGGCAGAACGGAGAAAACCGAGAUAUGGACUCGGAUGAGAACUGCACAGACGACGUGAUGUCCCCCCUGCAGGAGGAGGAGAGUGGUUGUGAGGAGGAGGAGGAGGAGGGAGGCAGGGAUGACGAAGAGUUCGACAGUGAUGAGAGUUUGGUCGAUUCGGAUUCCGACUCUGAUGAAAAAGCUAACUUCCAGGCGGACCUAGCGGACUUGACGUGUGAGAUUGAGAUCAAGCAGAAGUUGAUUGAUGAACUGGAGAACAGUCAGAAGAGACUUCUGCAACUUAAACUGCAGUACGAAGAAAAACUCAUCCUGUUGCAGAACAAAAUCCGAGACACACAGUUGGAGAGAGACAGAGUACUACACAACCUUAUGUCCAUGGAGAACUACACAGAAGAGAAGGCGAGCAGGAUCAAGUCCGAGUACGAGAAGCGCCUGAAGGAGAUGAACAGAGACCUGCUGAAACUCCAGGCAGCUCAAAAGGAGCACGCUCGGCUACUGAAGAACCAGGGACGAUAUGAGCGGGAACUGAAGAAACUACAACAGGAGGUCAACGAGAUGAAGAAAGCCAAGGUGGCGCUGAUGAAGCAGAUGAAAGAGGAGCAGCAAAGGAGGAGGAUGGUCGAAGCGAAAAGGAACAGGGAGAUCGCUCAGCUUAAGAAGGAGCAGCGCCGGCAAGAGUACCAGAUCCGUUCGCUGGAGUGUCAGAAGCGCCAGCAGGAGUUGGUUCUGAGGAGAAAGAGUCAGGAGGUGACAGCAUUACGGCGGCUGGCAAAACCCCUGUCUGGUAGGAUGGCUAGACGGCUCCAGCCACUGGAUUCGGGAGCAGAACUUUCUGCCAGCACCACCUCUUCUGAACCUGAGUCCAAUAGGACCACACCGACCAACGUCUCUAACAUCGUUCGACAGUGGAACUCUAAGAUCAAUGGUUACAUGGGCGAGAGUGAUGGAGCCACCCCCAACGGGACACGAGUCGUUAGCAGGAAGCGAGUCCAGCCGAAUAAGGGUGUCCAGGGAGGUAGCACCAGUUUCGCCAAGGCUGCCCGUCAGAAGUGGCAGACCCUGGAGAGGCGGAUCCUUGACAUCGUCAUGCAGCGGAUGACCAUCGCCAACGUAGAGGCAGACAUGGACCGUCUUAUUAAGAAGCGCGAGGAGCUGUCGGUGCAACAGGAGGGGCUGUCGCGUAAAAGAGAAGUGCUUAUGGCUGAGGGGGAGGGGCUCGAUGGUGAAGACCGCCUGGUCCAGGAAAUCAACGAGGACAUUGAGGUUCUGAACGCCAACAUCGACUACAUCAACGACAGCCUAUCAGACUGUCAGGCUACCAUUGUUCAGAUUGAAGAGACCAAGGAUGAGCUGGACUCAGUGGACACCUCAGUGGUCAUCAGCUCCUGUUCUUUGGCCGAGGCCCGACACCUCUUGGACCAUUUCCUGAAAGCCUCCAUUGACAAGGGUUUACAGGUGGCUCAGAAAGAGUCUCAGAUCCGUCUUUUGGAGGGCCAGUUGAGACAGACUGAUAUGAUUGGGUCGGCCCACAACCACAUCAUCCUGGAUGCGCUGAGAGAGAAGGCAGAGUGCAUCCCCGAGCUGCAGGCGCUCAUUAAUAACGUACAGCAGGAGAAUGGUUACACCAGCACUGAUGAGGAGCCGUCAGAGUUUAGCCAGGCCUCUGAUGGCAGUGUAUCUCAGAUGAAGUCUUCUGCUAGUCAGGAUGACUUCAAGCUGAAAGUUCAGACGGAGCCUCGUCUCUCAGCCCAGAUGAAGGCUGUAUCGGCCGAGUACCUGGGCCCCAUGUUAGACCCGUCCUCCAAGAACAUCACCAAGUCCCUGGCCUCUCUGACGGACAUCCAGGAGAAUGGGGCUGGCGUCAGUGGCCUCAGCCUGACCCUCCCCAUCUUCAGGGACAGAGUGUCCAGGACCAUCAGCCUGCCUGUCCGAGGACACACUUUUCCCAGGCAGUCUCGUGGGGGAGACACCUCUCCUCUAACUAGGAGGAAGUCAUAUGAUCGGGGCCAGUCUUACAGAAUUGCUGAUGGGUAUUCCCCUCCCUCCUCCCCCCCUCUCAGAACCCGGAACGACCGCAACGUCUUCUCGAGGCUCACCAGCAACCAGAGCCAAGGCUCCGCACUGGACAAGUCGGAUGACAGCGACUCCUCUCUCUCCGAGGUGCUCAGGGGUGUGAUCACUCCCACCGGGGGGGUCAAGGGCGGCCGAACAGCACCCCUUCAGUGUUCUGCAGUAGCUGAAGGACAUUCAAAACCGGUCCUUUGUGUGGACGCCACAGACGAACUGCUCUUCACUGGAUCCAAAGAUCGGACAUGUAAAAUAUGGAACCUGGUGACGGGGCAGGAGAUUGUCACUCUGAAAGGGCACCCCAACAACGUGGUCUCUAUUAAAUACUGUUCCUCCUCCUGCUUGGUGUUCUCAGUCUCCACCUCGUACAUAAAGGUCUGGGACAUACGGGACUCUGCCAAGUGUGUCCGCACACUCACGUCGUCGGGCCAAGUGAUUUCGGGCGAUGCGUGUGCGGGCACCACCACCCGUACCAUCACGGUGGCACAAGGCGAAUACCAGAUCAACCAGAUAGCCCUGAACCCCUCAGGCUCUGUCCUGUAUGCUGCGGCUGGCAACACAGUGCGCACCUGGGACCUGAAUAGGAUGACAGCGCUGGGGAAGCUGACUGGUCAUAUAGGUUCCGUGAUGUGUUUAACUGUUGGUCAGUCUCUCCUGGGAAAAGACCGUGUCAUCACUGGCUCCAAGGAUCACUACGUAAAGGCUUUCGAUGUGGCGGAGGGAAUGCUGGGUAAUGUUGGCCCUGCCCACAACUUUGAGCCUCCUCACUACGACGGCAUCGAGUGUCUGGCCAUUCAGGGGGACGUGCUGUUCAGCGCGUCGCGAGACAACGGCAUCAAGAAGUGGGACCUGGAGAACCACGAACUCACACAGCAAAUCCCAAACGCCCAUAAGGAUUGGGUAUGUGCACUGGCUUAUGUUCCGGGUCGACCAAUGCUGCUGAGUGCCUGUCGAGGGGGCAUGCUCAAGGUGUGGAACGUUGAAAACUUCACCCCCCUAGGAGAGGUCAGGGGUCAUGAGAGCCCCAUCAAUGCCAUCUGCACAAACUCACGACACAUUUUCACCGCUUCCAGCUACCUGCAUGGAGGAGCUCGUUUAAUGCAUGCUGCCCUGCAUUUACAUUUUCAAAGACAUUUGGCGGAUGUUCAUGUCCGGAGUGACAUGCAAUUACUAAAAUAAGUUAUCCUACUUCGGACUCCAACCCACCACGCUGUCUUUGCAUGCGCCAUGUUCUACAAACGAAGCUACACGUAGCAAUACAAGUACCCCGAUUUGAUUGCUUCAAAAACGAGCUGUUGCGUGAUACUACAGUAAAGAUCUGGUCAACCAAGGUGGGGAGGAAGAGGUGACAGUUGGGAGCGCUAGCCUGACAUUACCAUCGGCAGCCAUCUUUGAUGAGGGGCUUCCUGAUCUUUGACCUCAAAUCAAUCAGGUGCGAUGCGGCCACAUACAAGGUUUCUGUCACUGGGACAACCAAAGCGUGGAUGACGGGCGUCAUCGCAAAGUUUAGUUUCCUUGGAAAGACCAGUUGGGGAGCACCUGUAUAUUAGGUAGCUGACAGGCAAAACGGAGACUCCAGAGAAACUUUGCCUUUUUCUUGUUUCUACUGCCAAUUCAACUAGUGCCUCAAGUGCCAUUGAGGUUUGAUGUGAUUUGGAUGAGUUGAAACAUUUCCUUUGCCAGGUAAUGGCUAUGUUGGGAAGAAAUGCAGAACGUCCUUGGGAGGUCCGUGGACAACCAGUUGCAGACUAAAUCAUCUCCUUUUCGGUUGAUUAUUCUGUCAAUGAAAGCAAGGACUCCUGGAAGAGAACAAAGCCAUGGAGAACACUAUUUCUGAGACUGGGUUGUUUCUAUAGCACUGACUGUUUUGGAUCUUCUACCGGAGAUGAAGAAAACAUGACACAGGGUGUAAAUCGGUGGUGCUCUGUUGUGGACAGGUUUUGAAUGUGUCAUGUGUGUAAAAACGUUUUAAGAAACCUCUGAGUUUGAAUUUAAACAACUUAUUCUAGGUCGGAAACAUGUAUAAAUGAACACAGACAUUGACUUAACUGAACUGAUCUGAAAACGAUUUUCAAUCACAGUAAUUUCAGUAGAGUUUUUAGCAGUACUGUUUUGCAGAUUGUGUGGCCUCAAACAAGACGGCUUGUCAACACUCUUCAUCAAGAACAAUGAGCAAUAUGAAAUUAUUGACCAAGUCGGGAGCUUUUUCCCCCCUUGAAUAAUACACAUUUCCUGUCAAUACAGCGUACGCUUUAUUUCUUCGGUUCCAUUUUGGCCCAACACAAGUCACAAUGCGGGAAACUAGGUUGUGACAGACUUAGUUUGGAUCCCGAGGCAGAACCAGUCGGCGACCAGCGGGGUCAAGAAUAAACCAGCGGACGGCUUGCUGAACCCUUCUCUAAACCCUGUUGUUAAUUUGAGGAUGGGGUCUUCUGCAGCCUGUACCUCAGCUACUGAGUCUACAGUGAGAGCCUUUAACUCUAAUACCACCGCAGUGCUUGUGGAACACACACACACACACACACACACUGCUGUCCUAUUGUUUUGCUGGAAGUGCUUACACCAGCAGGAAUUUGUUAAUACGCGCACACGCGCACAUCAGCUCCCUAACCCCCAGCAUGCAGCAGUAUUUCCACAGCGGCCAAAGUUCCAGAUCAUUAUCGCCCCUAUCUGUAUGUAGAGUCUGCCUGUGUCCUAGCUUGGGCACUACGCCCUACAAAGUAGUCUAGUUUUGAUCAGAGUCCCGCGGCACAAAGUGCCCAGCUUUUGACCGGAGCCCUUUGGGAAUUGGCGUGUCAUUUGGGCCUCCCUUUCCCUCUCCGAGGCUCUGAACACUUCAAUAAGCACAGCCCUGUCUCAACCUCUCCUCCGCUCUCCCCCCGUGAGGCAUAUAUUCCGUGCGACUCGGCUCUGAGCUUAUUAGCCGUAGCAACCGCCCGGAAACCUGGGACCUGGGCUCCAAAUGACGCUUUUGAAAUCUUUCAAACACUCUAGAGCCACUCCAAACUACCACAGAGUGCCGAUUAUACUGAGCCACGAAGCCAGGCACGCCCAGUCAAGCACAGAGUCAAGUAUUUGAAACAAUGUCAAAAACAGUAUUGGCAGCCAGGUCUGAACUUGGCUGAUAACAGUGAUGGCAGACAACCGUAAAGUGCAGGGCUGUCCAUGAGGCAUCGGCAGGAGAAAUGGUUAUGCUAGCCAGGCUAAUUGGCUGCCGGCUACCAGGUUGUGAUAAGAUAUGCAAUAUGGGAAUACUCUGGAACUAGGUCAGGAUAGGGAAGAGGUUUUACAGGGGUCCGUCCCAAAUGGACCCUAUUUCCUGUGGGCCCUGACCAGAAACAGUGCACUAAGUAGGGAAUAGGGUGCCAUUUAGUUGAGAUACUUUAUAAGAUCCUUAUUUCUGCUGUUCAGAUCUGGUGUGCCCUAUCUCGCAAUCAGCUGUGUGUGCGCGUGCGUGUUUGUAUGUGUGCGCAUGUGCGUUAGUGCAUGCGCGGGCAAUCCCUGGCUUUUAGGUUAUUCAUCUUGCCUUUACUUCAGCUCUGAGAAGUACUGUCUGUGGUGUGAAAUGAAACAUAUUUAUCUUCUAGCCUACCCACACAUGCAUACACACAUUCACACAUGCAUACACACAUUCACACAUGCAUACACACAUUCACACAUGCAUACACAC